GCAUGAGCGGCGAGCAGCCGGCCUUGGCGCGCUCGCACACGGAACGGCACGGUGGUAGCGGCUUGUGGUAGUCAGGCAAACAGAUGGGCGUGUACAUAGAGCACAGGAAGAAGCGCAGGUCCGGUGAGCAGUGGAUCUCCACAAGCGGCCAGAAUUGGUGCACCUCCAGGCCUGCUUCGUCCUGCGUGUCAUGGUUGAACUGGUUGGGCAUGUGCGUCAGGUUGUAGCCGAUGCCUCGGCACAUGGGCACCGUGAUUUCCUGGCACACCGGGGCCUUGGAGGCGGCCGCUGCCCGGCCCACCAGCUGCGCCAGCAACAGCAGCAGAAGAGAGGGAGGCGCAGACGGGUCGGGUCGAGCCAUCGUCUCCUUCUUCCCUUUGCCUCCCGCUGCCUGAGAGGGUCUGCGUUGGCCGACGAAUCUGCGGCCGGGGCUUCCCUCUCCGGAGUCUUGAGUGUGACGCCCGGGCUGGCAACCUGUUGGUUUCUUUUUCUCUUAAAGAAAUCCGUCCAAAGAUAAACUGUUUCUGGAAGGCGCUGCCUCCGCCGGCAGCACUCAGUUCCACACCAGAUAGGGCUGGAGGGAUGAUUAGGGCUCCGACUCCAAGGACAGAACUCUUAAAAGAGAAGGUAGGGGAAAAGAAAAAUCGCAACCACUCCUCUUAGAGGAGCGCCAACCACUUGGUCUCCGCAAACCAGCUCCAAUCUCAAGAUUAACUCCUUUCCUCCCCUCCUCCUAGAACCAAACUUCAGACGCCCCCACCCCCUCCACCCCACUGCCCGCGCCCGCCUCUCUUUUCUGGCCCGGCCCUGCAGGCUGUGCCUGGGGCCAGAGAGCUCAGUCCCCGAGAUGGGGGCAGAGGAACCGGGUGAACUGGGAAGACGCGGGCUCUCACCUCGGAGGAUCCUGCUGGGCGGCAGAUGUCUGCGACCAGCCGGGCUCCUCAGUCGCGCGACUCCGAAUCGGGCCAGAGCUGGGAAAGUUUAACGACAAGCUAGGUACCUGUGGCGGCGACACAUGGCAGCAGGUGGAGGGCGUUUCAGAGAGCAGGGCGCCCCUCGACCAUGGGCGGCGCGGGCCGGUCACUCGCCUUCUCUUCCUUCGGGGCCCCCUGCAUGAUUCGGGCAGAGCAAGGCAGGGGCAGGCCGUGCCUUCCACCGGCGUCCCGGGGCCGGGACGAAGGGCAAGGGCGCCGGGCAGCACUUGAACUGCGCGGAGGGGUGCGGCAGCCGGAGGGGACCCCGCCACCUCACAGCACAGCGAGCAGCCAGCGCUGGUCGGGCGGGGACUGCAUAGUCCGCACCCGCCGCCGCGUCCCGCCAGCCGCUCGCCGCCUCCCCUGCAGGGGGCUCCGCGCUCCAGCAGACUCCGGGGGGCGGUGGCGGCGCUCUCGGGACGCGCCCCGCUCGGCUCCUCCCCCGCGCUCUCGCACUCUUUCGCCCACCUCCAGGGAGCUCCGAGCUGUGCGCGACGGCAGAGGACAAGUCGCGGCCGCAGGCUGACUGCCCUCUCCCGCCCCGCCCGGGUCACCUGCCUCUAAUGCCCGCCGGGAGGCCCCGCCCCGGGACCGCCCCUCCCGCCCCCUCCCGCCCUGCCCCGAGCUGGGCCGUCCCACGAAUCGCUCUCCGGGUCCCCGCCCACCGCCCCGCUGUCCUGGCCUCUCCGCGAGCGCCCCGCGGCCCCGCCCGGAGCGGGCAGCGGAAGAGCGUCGGCCAAUAGUGGACCGGGAAGUUACGAGGGCGGGGUCAAUGCUAAUGAGUCCUCCCAGAGAACCCGGGCGGGAAACCUGGCCCCAAGUCCUUCUGGAGUUCUCUGCGGUGGUUCACCAGGAUGGUGCUCACUUUCCUGAGGGCUCUGUUCUCUGAACGCCGGCUUCCAGGGCCUCCACCAGGCCACCUCUCUCCAGCUGAGUGUCCUUAUCGAGGUCUGGCGCUUGUUUAAAGGGAUGAGAGGUCAAUUCGGUUGUGCCACCUGUCCUCUUUCUAAGCUGCCUUGUGCUAGGUGACAGACGUGCUAGUACUUAAUGAGCAACCUCGUGUUAGUUAAUCGUUUACACCUUGAUACGCGAUCUGGAUACCGUAGGAUUCUGAGGCCAGAACACCUCAGAACUUGACCUACACAGCUGAGCUAACAAGACAGCAGAGACGUUGACAAACUUGUGCCCCUCCCUGUGCGAGCUCCUGGCACACAAUAGGCGCUCUGACCUGGAAUCCCAAACCAGAAGCUGGGCAGCAGAGUUCACAAUCUUUACCACUCACCCCUCCCUUAGAAAUAUCGAUAUUUCCCAGGCUUUGCCCUUUUAUAUAUAACAAAAUCUUGUCCUUGUGACAAGAGAAUGAAUUUCUUUCCAGUUUUGGAAGUCUCUAGAGACGUUAGUCCUUAGCAGUUGCGGUUUAUAAUCCCUGGCAGAUCCGAAUUUGCCCACAGAGAAAAACUCUUGAACUGGAGCAGUGUACAGCUCAGGGUGCUUGGUCCCCCAGGGUUGGCUGCUGUGCACUCUGGCGAGGUUGAGACCGGAUAACCGGGGCGUACUGGGGCAGUGGGAACCGUGAAAAGACCUGCUGCGCACAGUCAACGCAGGGACACGCAGUGGCGCUCUCCUGAUGGGUUAGUAUACUCCAAGUUUUAAAUGUCCCACAAAUGCCUCUCUUCUACGAGUUCUAAUUAGGCUGGGAGACCGAGGUGUUUAGCAUGCUUGAAAUUCGUUCACACGCUUAUGAAGAGGCUUUAAAUUGUAGACUGCUCCUUCACUCCUCCUUCCGCUGGGGGAGGGGAGUGGGAGGGAUUUGAAGUAGGGGAGGGCAUAGGAGUACUUGAAGGACUCUGAACUGGCCUCACUGACUGAGAUCUGUUGGGUUGUUAUUGUCUUCUGUGCCGUCUGUACGGGCUGAAAAGCCAUCUUCAGUUUAUCAGCAAGGCGUUGUGGAGGCUAAUGAAACUCCGUGUUUAAUCUCAGACAUCACAGCUAAAUGUUUAUAAUGUAUAUUGCUUCAUUCCCUAGAAUUCUACCUCUUUUAUUAUUCUAUCUCCCUAGAAUUUAAUCUCUUUAGUUCUUAGUAACUGCUUGGCCCUCGGGGUCUAGAAACAUCCCGGGCUAAGAAUUAUUGGAGGGGUGAAAAACUAUAGCACACCAGUCAGAUAAGGAAGGACCCGUAGUGGAAAGUAUGUCCAGCCUGCCGACAUGCCAAGGGAGGCUGCUACACUUUAUGUGCUGUGUAUGUUGCUGCGAUGGACAAGUGUUGGCUAAUAAUAAAAAUUAUUUGGAAGUUGGAGAAUGUAAACUACUCACACUGGAAUUCACCCAGGAACCUUGGGUUGUUCCACUUGGUUCUGCCUAGACCAUUACUGUCUUACUGCUCUGUCAACCUUCCUUAACAACAAAAAUCUGACUUUUGCUUAGAGAUCCCAAGUAGUUACAGUAGUAAUGGAAGGGAACGUUGGCUGGGUGUGGUGGCUCAGACCUCUAAAUCCAACACUCUAUAGGGGGACAGCAGGAAGAUUCUGAGUUUGAAGACAACCUGGGCUACACUGACAGUCUGUGUUUCAAAACAAAAUCCAAAAAAGGUGACAAAGUAAACGUGUAUCUUUUUUUGUGUGUGUGUUGUUUUAGUUUUUGCUUUCCCACAUAUAUUACUUAAAGGUUAUUUUAAGAUAUGCUGAUUGGGGCUGGAGCUCAGCAGUUAAAGAGCAUUGUGUGCUCUUUCAGAGGACCUGGGUUCAGUUCCCAGUACCCACACAGUGGCUCACAACCAUCUGUACAAUCCCAGGAGAGCUGGUCCUUCCUCUCUUAUACCCUUCAUGGCUGCCAUGCAUAGACCUGGUACACAUGCAUGCAUGCAAGCAAAACAUUCAUACACCUAAAGAUAAAUCUAAAAACAGAAUAGUUUUUUUAAAGUAUGCUGAGUACUUAACAUACCUCAGGCAGGCUGCUAAAUAUUUUGCCUCGUUUAAUGCUUGGAAUAAUCAUAUACAGAAACUGUCACCAGAACAACUCAUUGGGUUUAUUGGGUGUAACUAGUCCACAAAAAGGGUAGCAGUCGAUAUUUCUUAUACUUCAUUAUUAUUACAGUUAAUAACAAUGCGGUACAAUUGUAAAUUACUAAGAGUAGACUUUAAGUGUUCUUAUCACAACACACACAAAGAUAAGUAUGUGGGCUAGAAAUGCAACUCAUUUAGUUACCUAUCGAACACAAAGACCCAGGUUCAAUUCCCAAUACCACCUAAAACUAGGCAUUGUCCUCAUGCCUAUAAUCCCAGGAUUUAAGAGGUGGGGCCUGGAAGGUCAGAAGUUCAAAGUCAUCCAUCAUCGACUGCGAUCAAGUUGGAGGCCAGCCUGGGUUACAGGAAACUUAAAAAACAAAAACAGAAAC
rnacentral:lncRNA from 1 species